UUCUUCCCCGUGUUCCCCUGUCCCCCCAUCUCCUCCUCCUCCUCCUCCUCCGAUCCCUUCUCAUCACCGUAAUCACAUACACGCGCACACGCGCGCACGCAAACACACACACUCACGCACUCAGGAGCGAAAACCUUUUAAUCGUCACCGGUCUCCUGCCCCCCCCUCUCUCUCUCUAUAAUUUAUAAUUUAUUGAUUUAGAAGAUAAAAUUUUAUACCUUUAUUUUACCUAUAGUAUUUGUCUCGAGGAAAAGAAGUUUACCUAGAUCGGAGUUUCUUGAAGAUCCGAACGGAUUUCACUCCGACCACGACUCAUCUGAAUGAUCUGGGGAUGUUAUUUCGAAGAUGACGUCAAAUAUAUUAGCAGGAGAACGAAGAUGGGCUUCUGCAAGACGAACUGGAAUGACUGUGUUGGGGAAAGUUUCUGUUCCAAAGCCUUUGAAUUUACCCAGCCAAAGGUUAGAAAAUCAUGGCCUGGAUCCCAAUGUGGAAAUUGUUCCCAAGGGUAGUCUUGGUUGGGGAAGCCGCCCUUCAUCAUCUGCUUCCAAUCCAUGGGGUUCCACAACACAGUCUUCAAAUGCUGAUGGUAGUGUCAGUUCACCAAGCCAGCUGAGUGGGCGUCCAUCAUCUGCUGGAAGUGGUAGUCGACCAUCAACUGCUGGUAGUGAUAGAACAUAUGAGCGCACUGCUAAUGUAUGGGGUCCAAGUUCUAGGCCUUCAUCAGCUUCUGGAGUAUUGGCAUCAAACCAAACAUCAACCUCGCUGCGGCCACAGAGUGCAGAAACAAGACCUAGUAGCUCACAACUGUCACGGUUUGCAGAAACUGUAUCUGAUAGUACAGGUCUGCGGGCUCCAAGUGGUACUGCAGAAAGAGUGGGGGUUGCUUCCUCCGAGAAUGACAGGUUCUCUCUGAGUACUGGGGAUUUUCCAACACUAAAUUCAAGUAGAGAUGGUUCUGCGAAGAAUUCUGAGCCACGAGAUCAGGGUUCUCAUAGCCGUCCUAGUUCAGCUUCUGGCACCCAGAGAAAAGAGAAGACAGAAGAAUCUCAAGCUGGUCAGGAUAUCACGAGCGGAACAGUUAAUGCAUGGGACAGAGAUGGUCCCCGAAGUGCAGAUGAUGGGAUGCAGCCUAGCCAGGUGAAGUGGCAUGGGGAGCCUCAACAAUAUGUCAAUUCCAAUAUUCCCCCACCACAGUUUGAUGCGUGGCGUGGCCCUCCCAUGAAUGCACCAGCUGGUGUUUGGUAUAGAGGUCCUCCUGCGGGGCCACCUUAUGGAGCCCCUGUCGCACCUGGCGGCUUCCCCAUUGAGCCAUUCCCUUACUACUGUCCGCAAAUUCCGCCUCCAGCUUUACCAAAUUCACAGCCAGUUCCUCUGCCAGGGGCUGGUCCUAGGGGACACCAUCCAAAAAAUGGGGAGCUAUACAGGCCUCAGAUGCCUGAAGCUUUUGUACGUCCAGGAAUGCCAUUUAGGCCAGGUUUUUAUCCUGGUCCAAUGCAUUUUGAGGGCUAUUAUGGCCCACCAAUGGGUUAUUGCAAUUCCAAUGAACGGGAAGUACCAUUUAAGGGCAUGGGUGGCCCAUCUGCUUAUAAUAGACAUUCAACUCCAAGUGCUCCUGAUCCUGGCCAUUCUCGUGCCAGAGCUGGUAGGACUGGUCCUGCUGGCAAAAUGUUGUCAGAGCACGUAGAAACAGCUCAUUCUGGUGAUGCCUCUGGGCAAUAUAAAGUUCUUUUAAAGCAACAUGAUGAAGGGAAUGGGAAGGGGGAUGGUGAGAAUUUGGAACGCAGGCCAACAUUCGAUAAUUCCUCACAUCCUAAGAAAGGAGUCCUGUCUGGUGUGUCAUUGCGAAGGGAGUGGGGUGCUGAGCCUGAGCCUGAUAGUGAAGAAGAGAUGUGUGCAAUGAGAACAGAAGGUGAAAACUCAUGUUCACACAAAGUAAAGGAUCAAGGGGCUCAUGAUCCUGACACGUUCAAGGUCCAGUCAUUUGAGAAUGUGUGCAGUGCUGUGGUUGAUAAUAAUCAGAAACACCAAUCUGUGACUGCUGCACCCUCUCCAGGAAUGUCACAACCGUCUCCAGGCACAGAAAGAGGUUUAACUGUAACAGCUACUGCAAGAGAUUCAACUUUAAUGCAGAAAAUUGAAGGCUUGAAUGUGAAAGUUCGUGCCUCUGAUGGACGUUAUGAUGGUCCACAGAACUCGUCCCAAGCUGUUAACCCUAAGGGUAAUGACAUGAUCAAAGCUGGUAUUAUGGGACCUGGAUCCCAUGAAAUGCUUCCUUCUGUUGGGGAUAGAAGCUCUCACCCAGCAUUUGCUCCUAGGAGAGCAUAUGAUCAUAUGCAUGGUAAAGGUAGUGAUAAUGGCAAAGGAAGGUUUCGCAGUUUGGAUGGUGGUGGCUGGCAAAAGAAACCUGUAGCUGCUGAGCCUGCUAGUAUCCCAGCUGCUGAGCCUGCUAGUAUCCCAGCCGCUGAUAUCAUAUCUAUUGAUGUCCAUGAAACUAAAGUCCAACCUGUAGUGGCAGCUGUUGAGGAUCCUACAGGGAAGAACGAAGGAGAAAUGGCAACUGAAAUAUUUGACUCAACUGAUAGCCAGGCACAGCGUGCCAAAAUGAGAGAAUUGGCGAAGCAACGGGCCUUACAGCUACAGAAGGAAGAGGAAGAGCGAAUUAGAGAACAGAAGGCAAAGGCUUUUGCUAAACUGGAGGAGCUGAAUCGGCGUACACAGGGAGGAAAGCCUUUGAAGAAUGAAAAAGCUCUGGUUGGUAUGUGCCAGCCAGAGCUACAAGAACAGCAAACAUACUCUGGAUCGAGCCUGGAUGAUGCUAAAUCUCAAGCUGUGACAAAGGUUAUUUCUUCAGUCUCUGGUGGUGUUACUCAGUCUAGUCUGAGCACUGUCCCAAGUGGUGAUGAAUCUGCAACUUCAAGCAGCAAUUUACCCAAAGCUGUCCCCAUUGAGCCUGUUGUUUUGGAUGGUCAGUCCUUGCCUUUGAAACAGGAAGCCCAUUCUGCUGAUGCCAAUGAUCGUAAAACUUCUGCCCAAAUGAAUGAAGGUGGUGCCUCUAGACAUAAACGAAACAGCUUUAAGCCAAAGCAGAAUGCUACGCAAGAAAAGAAAAUUAGCCAACAGUCAGAGGCAAUCAGUGCUGCUGAGGGCCCUAAAAAUGAGACUGGUAUAACUUCCAAUGAAGUCAAUGUGGUUUCUCAAGAUGAUACUUUGUAUAGUGGUGAAUCAAACUUCCCAAGAAACCCUAACAUUGUUAGCGAGUCCUCUGCACAACAGAGAAGGAAAGGCAACAGGAGUGGCAAAAAGCACAAACUGGAUGAUGCACCAUCUAUGCCUAUUUUACCAUCAACAGCACCAAACGAAAGUAACCCUGUUGAAGCUUACACUGAAAAGGAGGACUUUAAGGCUUCUCAAUCAGAUCUGGAUAGUAGUGUAGUUCAGGAGGUGAUCACUACUGUUGAUGGAGCGGAGUCCUCCAAGCAGCAUUCUUCUUUACAAGGUGAUGAGGCUUAUGGUAGACUAAGCAACCACAGAAAACCUCAGCACUCUCGCAGGUUUGCAAGAAACCAACAAUCUAACAGGUUUACGGAUAAAUCUCAUGGCAAUGAUGUUGUUAUUUGGGCACCUGUGAAGUCACAAAGUAAAGCAGAGCCUGCAAGUGAAAUGAGCCAACAAAAUGCACAGGAAUGUGGUAUUUCAGCAAAAUGUGAUAAUCAAGUACAGAGUAACAUUAAAAGCAAAAGGGCGGAAAUGGAGAGAUAUGUACCCAAGCCAGUUGCCAAAGAAUUAGCUCAGCAGAAUAGUGUCCAGCAGCCAGUUUCAUAUUCAACUGAGAUGUCAACAUCUGAUGAGUUUUCUGAGAGAAUUGAAAGUGGGUUAGCAAGCUCCGGAAGUCUUCAUCCAGGUAGUUCAGCAACCUGCAAUGUUGCAUCAACUGCAGAGUGUAGGGAAGUUGAUUCCAGGCUUAAUAAACAAGUCAAAGCACAUGGAGCAUGGCGUCAACGGGGUUCAACAGAAGCACCGCAGAAUGCAUCUCCAACUUCCUCAUCCAACUCAAGCAAGAGUACUCGGACAUCAGUCCGCCAAAACCAAUCUGUGAAGCCCAAUCUAAAUUCUGCCAAAGUGGAAGGGAAUGUAUCCAGGGAUUCUAGUGCUUCUGAUGGCCAGAAUGUGUCCACUUAUUCUAAUGUAGCAGCUCCUGCUCUUUCACCUGUUGCGAAAGAUCAGGGAGUAACAGGCAAAGGAAAGAAGCACUCAUUGAAGGCUGACAAAAGCAUGGGAUUUAAUCAUGACAAUGAGAAGAAUCAAAUUAGUGGGGAAGCUGAUGGGAGUCGUAUCCUAUUUUUGGGUCCUGACAUAAAACAUGCUGAGAAGGUCAAUCUAUCAAAAGAGAGUCGAGGCUUUGAGGAACGGUCAUCGUCUCAUUGGCAACCCAAAUCUAAUUCAUCUUCAAAUAACAGCCAGCGUGGAAAUAGGUCUAUCUUAGGUCAGGCUGUUACUGUGGAAAAAGAUGAUGUCAAAAAGGAUUAUCCUUCACUGCCUAGUUCCCAUGUUCCGCCUAAUGUCAAGGAGAGCAGUGAAAAAGAUUCUCUGCUGGAUCAAACUUCUGAAAAUGUAGGGCAUCAAGGACACAGGAAAGAAAGGAGAAUGCCCACAUCUAAAGGACAUUCUCACUCCCCUAAUGGAGGCACAAAUGGUGCUGAUGAAUCAAGAUAUACUAUUAAUGCUGAUCCUCAAAAUAAGCAGCAUUUAUCUUCUGAUAUCAAGAGGGGUCGAACUCAAAAUAAUUAUCCUGGAACAAGCCGUGAACCUCGUGGGGAUUGGAAUAAUGAUAGGCAGAGGCAUAACAUCCACCACUAUGAGUACCAUCCUGUGGGGUCAUAUAACAAUAGUAAACCUGAAAAACCAGAAGAUGAAUAUCAUAAUGCGGGCCAAAGAUACAAGGACAGAGGACUGGGUCAGUCAAAGCGUGGCAGGGGAAAUUUUCAUGGGCGGCAAAGCGGCAGUAUACGUUUAGAUGCUGGUUCUGGCUGAUCAGAUGGAAACUAGGAUUAGCUUUCUGGGAUUAGCUUUCUGUUUUCACCAUUUGGAAAGUAGUCUGCCAAAUGUUGGGUCUUGGUUUGAUUAGGCAGGAUUUCAGGUAUGUUUAGUUCCUGGGGAAUGAUUCAAUGAUGGACUAUUUCUAUAGUAUUAUUAGAAAUCUGGAGACGAUCCUCACUUGUAUCCUGUGAGCUUGUCUUUUAUUGCUUGUUUUGGAGCUCUACUCGUCUCUGGGCCGAAGGAAAUACUGUUUGAGAUAUCAGCCCUAUAUUGAAUUUUGUAUUACGUGCAAUCUGGAGGUGUCACUGGCUGCUCGAAGUCCAGUUCUUCUGUUUCUCUUGCGUACCACCACAAGGGAGAGAACUGUGCCUUGGCAGGACCUCAGAAUGUGCAGAGCUUCUGUUAUGCUAACACACUGAAAGAGAGAAGAUAACCACUGGUUGAUAGUACAGCCCAGGCCAUCACAGAACCUAGCAAUAGGUGUCGCUGGCUAUCUUAUUAGUGAAGUACUACGAAGAAGAAUGUCUAGAGAGGAGACUAGGUUGGUCAAGGGUAGAACUUGUUAACUUUGCUAAGCUCUCAAGCAACUGAUAUUUUCCAUGAUUUGAUAAAAUUUUUGUAAGCAUAUUGGUGUUCAAAUUGUAUGCAAUUGCAGGUAAGCUGAUGUGUUAGCCUUUCUGAUUGAUGGAUCAUUUUGCUUUUUGUUUGUGUA